GCUGGUGUUCAGGAAAGUUCGCUCUCUGCUGGGAGGUCGGAUACGGGUCUUGUUAUCCGGUGGAGCGCCGCUAUCCGCCGUCACGCAGCGCUUCAUGAACGUGUGUUUCUGCUGCCCGGUGGGUCAGGGCUACGGCCUGACGGAGACCUGCGGGGCGGGAACCAUCAGCGAGCUGUGGGAUUACAGCACUGGGAGAGUGGGCGGACCGCUGGUUUGCUGUGAGAUGAAGCUCAAAGACUGGGUGGAGGGUGGUUAUCGUAGUACAGACAAGCCAAAUCCACGAGGAGAGAUCCUGGUCGGUGGACCCAACGUCACCAUGGGGUACUACAAGAACGGGUCGAAAAAUGAGGAUUUCUUCGUAGACGAGAGCGGUCAGAGGUGGUUCUGCACGGGAGACAUCGGAGAGUUUCACAAAGACGGGUGCCUCAAGAUCAUUGAUCGUAAGAAAGACCUGGUGAAGCUGCAGGCAGGAGAGUACGUCUCUCUGGGAAAAGUGGAGGCCAUGUUGAAGAACUGUCCUCUGGUCGACAACAUCUGUGCCUACGCCAACAGCGACGAGACGUACGUGAUUGGCUUCGUGGUGCCCAAUCAGAAGCAGCUGCUGGCGCUGGUGGACCAGUACGGGAUCAGAGGGUCCUGUGAGGAUCUGUACAGCAGUGAGGCCGUGGAGGAGCUGGUGUUAAAGACCCUCACUGAGGCGGCUCUGGAGGCCCAGCUCGAGCGCUUUGAGAUCCCCCGAAAGAUCUGCCUGAGCCCGGAGCCCUGGACUCCUGAGAUGGGAUUAGUGACUGACGCAUUCAAGCUCAAACGCAAGGAGCUGAAAACACACUACCAGGACGACAUCGAGAGGAUGUACGGGGGCAAAUAGAGACGAGGAGCGGCAUUGUUCUCCGUCACAACACAGACCAACACUCGAUCCAAAUGAACACACUGUCAGGAGACGGUUCAGUCUUUUGUUUUCACAUAUUUUGAGUUCUGUCAGGGGUUUAUUUUGCCUCCCACCCACCGUCAGCCGGGCUUCGUCUCCCACGGUCUGUUUCCAAAGCACAAAGCCAUUGAGGGCAAAGGAGAGCAGGUAUGUGGUCCAACAAUGUGUGUCUUUCCAUCAUCAACAUUAAGGCCAUUGUCCUUCUAUAGGAACAUGACAGAAACGGUCUAUUUAAUAAAAAAAUAAACUGUUGUUUAGUCUAUUGUAUUUUCCUACGGCGAUAGAGUAUAUUUUUUAAGCGUGUACAGACCACUUUGUGCACAAAAAUGCACAUUGACUUGCUUGUAUUACAGACGAAAUGAUUUGAUAAAUCAUGCAAUAGGAAGAUGUGUCAUUUCUGUCCAAAUAAGGCGGUUGAUUACAGACGGGACAUAAAUAAAGCUUUCUCAAUGUCUGUAGAAUUCGCACACGGAGCGACUUCUGUGUGUGGGGUAUGAUUUUAUUCCGUCUUUACUUAGCUGAGUCCUUUGCACGAGUGAGACUAAGUGUGUGAUUCCUUAAAUGAAAAAGGCCCCAGCAUCCCUCACAAUGUGACACCUGUUGCCUUCUCGCGAUCCUCGCCUUUCUAACUCAUGAAUGAUUUUUGUAAUGUGAUGUUUCUCCAUCCGUGUACAUAUCUGUUUGUGGAGCUGUGGUCAGACCUGUUUCGGAGCUCCACUCUGAAUGAACUUGUAACAGAAGUGCAUCGACUUUUUAUCCGUUAUUUGUUGUAAAAAUACCCAAAUAAAGAAAUAAACAUUGUGUUUGGUCUAUACA